GGCUCAAUGGUCUAGUCGUAUGAUUCUUGCUUUGGGUUACCAGCGCACUGCAAGAGGCCCGUAAGUUGCAACUUCAACUCCCUACAAAUGAACCUUCUUUAACACCGUAAUAGCGGGUUCAAAUCCCGGUUGAGCCC